GAGCUCCCCUGGGUAGCACAUACACUAAAAUUUGAGUGAUACAGAGAAAACUAGUAUGGCUUCCGUGCAAGAAUGGCACACACAUUUGCAAAGCAUUCUAUAUAAAA